rnacentral:lncRNA from 1 species
UUCCUUUUUCAAUGAAAAUAUUCCUUGGCUAUUUUUUGAAAAAACAUAUUUAUCUAAUAAAAAAUAAAUUUAUUAUUAAAAAAAAUAAAAUAAAAAAUAAAAAACAUAUAUAUACUUUCAAGUAGAAUUUGCAUUCAGUCUAACAAAACAUGAACAAAGCUUUGAAGGAAUUUUUUUUUUUUUGGAGUUGCAUUUGGUUGAAAGAUUAGAUGGGAGAAGACUGACAUGUUGACGGUGCAGAGCCUUCCUGCCCGAGAACCAGUGCAUCUGCUUCCGUUAUUCGUUUGAACUGUUUUAUGUCCACCCGUCAUUUCCUGUAAUAUUCUUCAUAUGGGCAUUACACGCCUAGAAAAGAGUAAUGUCAUCAAGAGCCUUAAAACUGUUUUCUUAGUAAUUCCACCUCUAGUGGCCUAAACAACGUGAACACGAGUUUGUGCGUAAAAGAUUUCAGCUACAACGUUGAACCUGGAACGGUCCAAACGUUAGAAACACUUAAAAUGAACAGUUACAGGGGGUUGGGGGGUGGGGGCAGGAGGGUGGUGGAUAAAUAACUUCCGAGACAGCCACAAGCUGAACUAUUAGGCAGCCCUUAAAAAGAUACUCCUGGAAAUCAGCUCAGCUUGAACGCCGCGUGGAAAAUCGCGAGUGAACGUGUUGCACGGACAGUUUUAUCUUUUUUUUUUUUUUUUCCUUUUUUUGGCAGGCAUAGCUCUGUACGCCUGGUAGAGAGCGCAGAGGAUGAGCCCGGAAAGAUGCAGCUCAGAGGAUGAGCCCGGAAAGAUGCGUUCGAUUGUAGGAGCUGGGGCGGAAGGGCCCGCUGCCCUCGCCCGGGAGCCUGGCCUUGUGGGUGCCUGGACUUCGCGGCCCUGCGUCCCCCUGCCGUCCCCACACUGCAAAGACCACAAGCUCCUGAGGGGAGGAACGGAACCAGCCAUUCGAAUUUUCUCAGGUUCCUCCUCCCCCGCUGCCGCCGGGGCCUAUGAAAUGCAUCUCGAGACUCCUGCAGAAACAGAAACACCAACCCUGAGGAAGAGGACAGUCAAUGUACUAGGAUCCUAGUGGGUCAUGAGGACACCAGGGAAAUCCGGACUUUGACAUUCAAAAUGUAUCUCCAGGGCCGCCUGGGGGGCUCAGUGGUUGAGCACCUGCCUUCAGCCCAGGGCGUGACCCCGGGGUCCCAGGAUCGAGUCCUGCAUUGGGCUCCCCGCAUGGAGCCUGCUUCUCCUCCCUCUGCCUCUGUCUCUGCCUCUCUCUGUGCAUCUUUCAUGAAUAAAUAAAUAAAAUCUUAAAAAAAAAAAACCCUGUAUCUCCAAACCAUUAUCCACUCCAGGACGAGGCAGAGGAAAACAAUCAGGGCAUAACAACCAAACCAUGAUGAUAAACGCACACGGUGAACCCCGGUCCUCUUGGCCGGGAUCUGGACUCGUUCCAUUUGGGUCGGAGGGAGUAAGUCCCAGGGUAGGUGCAUCUUACCUGGAAUGCCCCGAGCGGCCACAGGGCAGCCUGCCUCCUCCUGUGUGUUUUAUCCCCUCGGGGAUGCUUGCUU